UUUCAAUCAUGUAGUUAACCCACU
rnacentral:miRNA from 1 species